CAGCGACCAUAGGAGGGCUUCUGUCUUUGACGAGGCUCGAUUUGCAUUCGAAUAGAAUCGGUCAGCUUCCUGAGUCUAUAGGAAAUUUGAUGAACUUGGUCAACCUGAACCUUAGUGGAAACCACUUGACGUCUCUACCAUCGUCUCUGAGUAGAUUGGUCAAUCUCGAGGAGCUUGAUUUGAGCUCUAAUAGCCUCUCUGUUCUCCCUGAAACCAUUGGUUCCCUCGUGAGCCUCGAGAAGCUCGACGUUGAAACAAACAAUAUCGAGGAGAUUCCUCAUAGUAUCUCGGGUUGUUCUUCCUUGAAAGAGCUCCGUGCAGAUUACAACAGGCUUAAAGCUCUUCCGGAAGCUGUUGGGAAGAUAGCUACCUUGGAGGUUUUGACCGUCCGUUACAAUAACAUUCGGCAGUUGCCUACGACAAUGUCCUCCAUGGCUAACCUCAAAGAGCUGGAUGUGAGUUUCAACGAGCUUGAGUCUGUACCAGAGAGCUUGUGUUACGCUACAACGCUUGUUAAGCUGAACAUUGGGAACAAUUUUGCCAACCUGAGAUCACUCCCGGGGUUGAUAGGCAACCUUGAGAAGCUGGAAGAGCUUGAUAUGAGCAAUAACCAGAUCCGUUACCUUCCUUACUCUUUCAAAGCGCUUUCACAGCUGCGUGUUCUUCACACACAGCAAAAUCCACUUGAAGAGCUUCCAAGGGAUAUAAUCAAAAAGGGGGCUCAGGUUAUUACUUAUCUAUGUUUAAUGUUUUGUCCUGUCUUUGCGUGUAUGUAUGAUUGAUUGUAUUAUUGUUUGGCUUCAUCCUCUCAGGCCGUGGUUCAGUACAUGAAUGAUCUAGUGGAGGCAAGAAACACCAAAUGUCAAAGAACUAAGCAGAAUAAGAGUUGGGUCGUCAGAAUCUGCUUCCUCUGCAAGUCCACCAACUAGAGAACACGGAGCCACUCUUGAACAAAAUCUGACUUCGAUUUCAUUCUUACAACUCCUGAAGUCCAAUCAAAGAUUCCAAUUGUAUACUUUGUAUUUGUUCAUACCUGACUUGAUCCUGAGGAAAAUGUAAUUCAAUUUCGUAAUGUCAAAUUGUUUAUAUUCUUGUUUCUCUUGUUGUAACUUUUUUUAUUUUUGAAGGGCUUACUUCUCCUGUUGUAACUUUCUUCUUUUUGAAUGCUGAAUUGAAUUGUAAUUCAAUGCUUGUUUCUUCUUCUUUUAAUGUGUAGCAAAACAUGUACUGGGAGUCUGGGAUAUCCGAAUCAAAACACGUUUCCACAGGCUCUGCUCUUUUUUUUUCUGUUUUAACCUGUUAAAAAGUUUACUGAGGAGAACAUAAGUGGCCGAGCAAAUUAUUGAGCAAUAUAUUUGUCAUCUUUUUUUUUUCUGUUUUAACCUGUUAAAAAGUUUACUGAGAACAUAAGCGGCCGAGCAAAUUAUUGAGCAACAUAUUUGUCAUCUAUUUCAUUUUAUUGACAAGUUUUUAUUCAUAGCCAGCCGUGGGUGAACACUAAAAAUAAUUCAAUUGAUAGAUACUCUAUUAAUACUUUACCAAUAAAUACUCAAAAAAAUAGAAAAGGUCGAAAAGUUUUCAAAUAAGUUACCUUAAAAUAUUCAAUUAUCAUGUGUCUGUGGACAGAAAAUAUCAAAGUAUUAUACAACAAGUAAAUAAAUACUCAAAAUUUGAAACAAUUAUAUAUUAUACAUUAUAUUUAAUUUUUGGUUAAAUCUGUAGACAAUUAGCAAUGAGAAUGUUGAAUUUUUCCAACAUUAUGAAACACAUAUGGAUUACAUUAAGAUGUUGAAUUUUAAAUGAUAUAAUGAAGCUGUUGAAUUUUAUUAAAAACACAUAUGGAUUACAUUAAGUUGAAUGUUUUCAACAGGUUGAAAGAACUGAAAUGGGUUCAAGGCUACAAUUUUUAUUUCCUCCAAAUUAUAAAUUUCAAUUAUUUUGUAGUAAAAUAUUUUUCAAAAAAAUAAAAGUUAUACCAGAAUUCAGUAUUUUAUAGACAUAUAGAUAAAAACUAAUCUCAUUUUAUUUAGAUACCAAAAAUUCAUAUUUACUAUACUUUCUUUUAUUAACUUCUAAUCAACUCUUUUGUGUAUUUUAAUUUACUUUUUUUGUCAAAUGGAUCCUAUUAAUAAUUGUGACAAAAAAGGAUCCUAUUAAUAAUUUUAUUAACAUUCAAAAAUUUUGUAUCUUUCAUUUUAACAACGAAAAUUUUAAUAAUUAUCAGUUUCACAACUAAACUAAGUAAAAAGUAAAAAUAACUAAAAAAUAAGCAAAAUAUAAUUUUUUUUUGGGAAAUAUAAUAUUAAAGUGAAAAUAUUGUCUUUUAUGUAGUAAGAAAUGGAAAAUUAGAAUUCAUCUAAUGAAAUAAAUACUCAAACGUUAAGAAAAUGUGUUAGAAAAAAUUGAAAAAAACAGUGAUGACAAUUCACGGCUUCCUGAUUCUCUAGGAAAGUUAUCGAGUCUCGUUAGGUUGGAUCUGUCUGAGAAUUGCAUCAUGGCGCUACCAGCGACCAUAGGAGGGCUUCUGUCUUUGACGAGGCUCGAUUUGCAUUCGAAUAGAAUCGGUCAGCUUCCUGAGUCUAUAGGAAAUUUGAUGAACUUGGUCAACCUGAACCUUAGUGGAAACCACUUGACGUCUCUACCAUCGUCUCUGAGUAGAUUGGUCAAUCUCGAGGAGCUUGAUUUGAGCUCUAAUAGCCUCUCUGUUCUCCCUGAAACCAUUGGUUCCCUCGUG
rnacentral:lncRNA from 1 species